GCAGUCGCCGCGGUAAUACAGAGGGUGCGAGCGUUAAUCGGAUUUACUGGGCGUAAAGCGUGCGUAGGCGGCUUUUUAAGUCGGAUGUGAAAUCCCUGAGCUUAACUUAGGAAUUGCAUUCGAUACUGGGAAGCUAGAGUAUGGGAGAGGAUGGUAGAAUUCCAGGUGUAACGGUGAAAUGCGUAGAGAUCUGGAGGAAUACCGAUGGCGAAGGCAGCCAUCUGGCCUAAUACUGACGCUGAGGUACGAAAGCAUGGGGAGCAAACAGGAUUAGAUACCCCGGUAGUCCCUGUCUCUUAUAC
rnacentral:rRNA from 1 species